UGGGGAAUAUUGCACAAUGGGGGAAACCCUGAUGCAGCGACGCCGCGUGAACGAAGAAGGUAUUCGUAUCGUAAAGUUCUGUCCUAUGGGAAGAUAAUGACAGUACCAUAGAAGAAAGCUCCGGCUAAAUACGUGCCAGCAGCCGCGGUAAUACGUAUGGAGCGAGCGUUGUCCGGAAUUAUUGGGCGUAAAGGGUACGCAGGCGGUUUAAUAAGUAGAAUGUUAAAGAUCGGGGCUCAACCCCGUAAAGCAUUGGAAACUGAUAAACUUGAGUAGUGGAGAGGAAAGUGGAAUUCCUAGUGUAGUGGUGAAAUACGUAGAUAUUAGGAGGAAUACCAGUAGCGAAGGCGACUUUCUGGACACAAACUGACGCUGAGGUACGAAAGCGUGGGGAGCAAACAGG
rnacentral:rRNA from 1 species